AUUAACAUGAUGUUUGGAAUACCGCCCCAGUCGGAUAAAUUGUGACGAUUGGUUUUUUAAAUCUGAAAUAAA